GAUGAACGCUGGCGGCGUGCCUAAUACAUGCAAGUCGAGCGAACAGACGAGGAGCUUGCUCCUCUGACGUUAGCGGCGGACGGGUGAGUAACACGUGGAUCCCCUCCCUAUAAGACUGGGAUAACUUCGGGAAACCGGAGCUAAUACCGGAUAAUAUAUUGAACCGCAUGGUUCAAUAGUGAAAGACGGUUUUGCUGUCACUUAUAGAUGGUUCCGCGCCGCAUUAGCUAGUUGGUAAGGUAACGGCUUACCAAGGCAACGAUGCGUAGCCGACCUGAGAGGGGGGUCGGCCACCCGGGAACUGAGACACGGUCCAGACGCCUACGGGAGGCAGCAGUAGGGAAUCGUCCGCAAUGGGCGAAAGCCUGACGGAACAACGCCGCGUGAGUGAUGAAGGUGUUCGGAUCGUAAAACUCUGUUAUUAGGGAAGAACAAAUGUGUAAGUAACUAUGCACGUCUUGACGGUACCUAAUCAGAAAGCCACGGCUAACUACGUG
rnacentral:rRNA from 1 species